GGAUCAAUAUGCCGGUCAUGCCUUGGUAUGCACUGGUAUCUUUGAUUUCUCCCUUCUGACGAACUUUGAUGUCAUUAAUUUGGUGUCAUAGGGAAUCAGGACUGUUACUUUGAAAAAAUUAGAGUGUUUAAAGCAGGCUCACGCUUGAAUACAUUAGCAUGGAAUAAUGAAAUAGGACGUUUGAUUCUAUUUUGUUGGUUUCUAGGAUCGACGUA
rnacentral:rRNA from 1 species